rnacentral:rRNA from 1 species
CGGGACACGUGGUAUCCUGUCUGAAUAUGGGGGGACCAUCCUCCAAGGCUAAAUACUCCUGACUGACCGAUAGUGAACCAGUACCGUGAGGGAAAGGCGAAAAGAACCCCGGCGAGGGGAGUGAAAAAGAACCUGAAACCGUGUACGUACAAGCAGUGGGAGCACAGAGCAAUCUGUGUGACUGCGUACCUUUUGUAUAAUGGGUCAGCGACUUAUAUUCUGUAGCAAGGUUAACCGAAUAGGGGAGCCGAAGGGAAACCGAGUCUUAACUGGGCGUUAAGUUGCAGGGUAUAGACCCGAAACCCGGUGAUCUAGCCAUGGGCAGGUUGAAGGUUGGGUAACACUAACUGGAGGACCGAACCGACUAAUGUUGAAAAAUUAGCGGAUGACUUGUGGCUGGGGGUGAAAGGCCAAUCAAACCGGGAGAUAGCUGGUUCUCCCCGAAAGCUAUUUAGGUAGCGCCUCGUGAAUUCAUCUCCGGGGGUAGAGCACUGUUUCGGCAAGGGGGUCAUCCCGACUUACCAACCCGAUGCAAACUGCGAAUACCGGAGAAUGUUAUCACGGGAGACACACGGCGGGUGCUAACGUCCGUCGUGAAGAGGGAAACAACCCAGACCGCCAGCUAAGGUCCCAAAGUCAUGGUUAAGUGGGAAACGAUGUGGGAAGGCCCAGACAGCCAGGAUGUUGGCUUAGAAGCAGCCAUCAUUUAAAGAAAGCGUAAUAGCUCACUGGUCGAGUCGGCCUGCGCGGAAGAUGUAACGGGGCUAAACCAUGCACCGAAGCUGCGGCAGCGACGCUUAUGCGUUGUUGGGUAGGGGAGCGUUCUGUAAGCCUGUGAAGGUGUACUGUGAGG